UACGGGGGGAGCAAGCGUUGUUCGGAUUUACUGGGCGUAAAGGGCGCGUAGGCGGUAGCACAAGUCAGUUGUGAAAUCUCCGGGCUUAACUCGGAAAGGUCAACUGAUACUGUGCGACUAGAGUGCAGAAGGGGCAACUGGAAUUCUCGGUGUAGCGGUGAAAUGCGUAGAUAUCGAGAGGAACACCUGCGGCGAAGGCGGGUUGCUGGGCUGACACUGACGCUGAGGAGCGAAAGCGUGGGGAGCGAACAGG
rnacentral:rRNA from 1 species